rnacentral:rRNA from 1 species
UCGAUUCGAUUUACCUUCGGGUAUUGAGGAUGGCGGACGGGUGAGUAACGCGUAAGGAACUUGCCUCUUGGUCUGGGACAACUGUUGGAAACGACAGCUAAUACCGGAUAUUAUGAGAUUCUCGCAUGGGAAACUUAUGAAAGCUAUAUGCGCCAAGAGAGAGCCUUGCGUUCCAUUAGCUAGUUGGUGGGGUAACGGCCCACCAAGGCGACGAUGGAUAGCCGGCCUGAGAGGGUGAACGGCCACAAGGGGACUGAGACACGGCCCUUACUCCUACGGGAGGCAGCAGUGGGGAAUAUUGGACAAUGGGCCACAAGCCUGAUCCAGCAAUUCUGUGUGCACGAUGAAGGUCUUCGGAUUGUAAAGUGCUUUCAGUUGGGAAGAAGAAAGUGACGGUACCAACAGAAGAAGCGACGGCUAAAUACGUGCCAGCAGCCGCGGUAAUACGUAUGUCGCAAGCGUUAUCCGGAUUUAUUGGGCGUAAAGCGCGUCUAGGCGGAAAAAUAAGUCUGAUGUUAAAAUGCGGGGCUCAACUCCGUAUUGCGUUGGAAACUGUUUUUCUAGAGUACUGGAGAGGUGGGCGGAACUACAAGUGUAGAGGUGAAAUUCGUAGAUAUUUGUAGGAAUGCCGAUGGAGAAGUCAGCUCACUGGACAGAUACUGACGCUAAAGCGCGA